UACGUAGGGUGCAAGCGUUAAUCGGAAUUACUGGGCGUAAAGCGUGCGCAGGCGGUUGUGCAAGACAGAUGUGAAAUCCCCGGGCUCAACCUGGGAAUUGCAUUUGUGACUGGCGGGCUAGAGUAUGGCAGAGGGGGGUAGAAUUCCACGUGUAGCAGUGAAAUGCGUAGAGAUGUGGAGGAAUACCGAUGGCGAAGGCAGCCCCCUGGGCCAAUACUGACGCUCAUGCACGAAAGCGUGGGGGAGCAAACAGG
rnacentral:rRNA from 1 species